GACGAACGCUGGCGGCGUGCUUAACACAUGCAAGUCGUACGGUAAGGCCCUUUCGGGGGUACACGAGUGGCGAACGGGUGAGUAACACGUGAGUAACCUGCCCACAACUUUGGGAUAACGCUAGGAAACUGGUGCUAAUACUGGAUAUGUGCUCCUGCUGCAUGGUGGGGGUUGGAAAGCUCCGGCGGUUGUGGAUGGACUCGCGGCCUAUCAGCUUGUUGGUGGGGUAGUGGCCUACCAAGGCGGCGACGGGUAGCCGGCCUGAGAGGGUGACCGGCCACAUUGGGACUGAGAUACGGCCCAGACUUCUACGGGAGGCAGCAGUGGGGAAUAUUGCACAAUGGGCGCAAGCCUGAUGCAGCAACGCCGCGUGCGGGAUGACGGCCUUCGGGUUGUAAACCGCUUUCAGCAGGGACGAAGCUUUUUGUGACGGUACCUGCAGAAGAAGCACCGGCUAACUACGUG
rnacentral:rRNA from 1 species